rnacentral:rRNA from 1 species
AUUGAACGCUGGCGGCAUGCUUUACACAUGCAAGUCGAACGGCAGCGCGGGGCAACCUGGCGGCGAGUGGCGAACGGGUGAGUAAUAUAUCGGAACGUACCCAGAAGUGGGGGAUAACGUAGCGAAAGUUACGCUAAUACCGCAUACGAUCUACGGAUGAAAGUGGGGGACCUUCGGGCCUCAUGCUUGUGGAGCGGCCGAUAUCUGAUUAGCUAGUUGGUAGGGUAAAGGCCUACCAAGGCGACGAUCAGUAGCUGGUCUGAGAGGACGACCAGCCACACUGGGACUGAGACACGGCCCAGACUCCUACGGGAGGCAGCAGUGGGGAAUUUUGGACAAUGGGCGCAAGCCUGAUCCAGCAAUGCCGCGUGAGUGAAGAAGGCCUUCGGGUUGUAAAGCUCUUUUGUCAGGGAAGAAACGGCUGAGGAUAAUACCUUCGGCUAAUGACGGUACCCGAAGAAUAAGCACCGGCUAACUACGCGCCAGCAGCCGCCGUAACAC